GUUACAUUUCAGUAAGAUAAACAGUAAAUGACUAGGUUACAUUUCAGUAAGAUAAACAGUAAAUGACUAGGUUACAUUUCAGUAAGAUAAACAGUAAAUGACUAGGUUACAUUUCAGUAAGAUAAACAGUAAAUGACUAGGUUACAUUUCAGUAAGAUAAACAGUAAAUGACUAGGUUACAUUUCAGGUUUUGUUGUUGUUUUUUGAUAGCUCCUUAUUCUACAUUUAUUGAUAAUAUACAUUGAGUGUACAAAACAUUAAUAUUGAGUUGCACCCCCGUUUGCUCUCAUAACUGCCUCAAUUUGUUGGGGCAUGGGCUCUACAAGGUGUCGAAAGCAUUCCACAGGGAUGAUGGCCCAUGUUGCUCCAAUGCUUCCCACAAUUGUGUUAAGUUGGCUGGAUGUCCUUUAGGUAGUGGACCAUUGUUGAUACACAUGGGAAACUAUUGAGUGUGAAAAACCCAGCAGCGUUGCAGUUCUUGACACAAACCGUUGUGCCUGGCACCUAUUACCAUACCCUGUUCAAAGGCACUGAAAUCUUUUGUCUUGCCCAUUCACCCUUUGAAUGGCACACAUACACAAUCCAUGUCUCAAUUGUCUCAAGGCUUAAAAAUCCAUAUUUAACCUGUCUCAUCCCCUUCAUCUACACGGAUUGAAGUGGAUUUAACAAGGGAUCAUAGCUUUCACCUGGAUUUACCUGGUCAGUCUAUGUCAUGGAAAGAGCCGGUGUUCUUAAUGUUUUGUAUACUCAGUGUAUGCUGCCAUUUUGUUUUAUUUUGUAUGAACACAAGACUGCU
ensembl:lncRNA